CCCGAUACACUCCCUGUGGCUGAGCCCGGAUGGGGUGCAAGUCUUGUUCACUAACUUGGCGCCCACUCAGUCCCGCUCAGGGAGGCAAGCCCCUGCCUCGUUCUGUUUUCUGGAGGAGGGUGUGGGAGAUUGGGAGGGCAAGGCAGAAAGGCUGUGUCUCUUGUCCUGAACUGAUUCCCCUUUGGAAAGAAGACAGUCACUGAGAGGAGGAGACAAACAGGUGAGCGGUAAAAAUGCCCCUAAACUAAACAGGACAUUAAGACCUCAGCAAGGCGCUCAGGCUCACUCCCCAGUCACCCGUCAGGUCUGAGGAGCAUUCUUAAGACCCAGACCGCCAUUCUCCUUCCAAGAUGAGGCUGGUUCUCAGGGGGAAGGGAACAGAAGUAGUUAAGUCCGUGGCAAUGAACCUGUGCCAUUUACACUCGGUCAAGUUCUGUGCUGGAAAUCUUUCGUUUUUAAAAGGGAGAAAGCUGUGUAUCCCAUCCUACUGCUCUCCCCCACCAUGUGGUUAAAGGAGAAAGAAUCGCAACUCGGAAAGGAGCCGAACGAGAGACGUGGUCACAGAACUUGGUCUGGAAACGUGUGGGCUGAAACCUGAGAACCCAGUUCAGGUCUAGACUGGCUUCUAGAGAGGAUUUGAUGUCUAACUGGCCAACAGAAGUGACGAAACUCCCCCUGGGGUCAAAGGAAUUCUGUCGGACCCCUGACGGGGAGAACUGAUCAGCAGCGUUGGGGAGAUGGGGGAGCCUCCUCCAAGUGUUUAGGGCCUUUCUGGAUUUUUCCCUUCCCUCACCUGCAGGAAGCUGGGAUCAUCUGGGGGAUGGGUCUGGCCCUGACCGUCCUCUUGGGAACUGCCAGUUCCGAGGGCGCUGGUGGACAGCCAGGUAGAUAUGAUUGAACAGGUCUCUGUGGCGGCUGCCUGCUGGCUGUGCCCAGCAGGCUGUGACAACAACUCAGACAGGAGAGCCGCUCGGCUUAGAAACGCACCAUGAGCAGGCCACACCGCCCGGAGAACAGUGGACGGUCACAGGGCUUCCCAGGCAUCACAAUGCAGCCCCCAGUUGUAUUUCUCAUGGAGCCCAGCAGAGGGCGACAGCUCAAGCUCCUCACAGGUGAGGGGAGAGGGGUAGGUCAGGAUGAGGGGACUCUCAUGUUUUGUCUUGUGUUCUCAGCGCUCUCGGUUGCUCUUCUGGGGGUCACCAUCUCCUCCCGGAGCUGUGGGGUACACCCUGUGGGAGGCCCAGCUCAAAAAGCAGCUCUUUCUUUUCCAUGUGCAAGGGAGGGUGUCCAGUCCAUUCAGGCUGCCGUAAUAAAAUAGCGCACACUGGGUGCCUUAUAAACAGCACACAUUUACUUCUCACAGUUCUGGAGGCUGGGAAGUCCAAGAUCAAGUUGCCAGCAGAUUCGGCGUGUGGUGAGGACCUGCUUCCUGGUUCACAGAUGGCGUCCUCCACGGUGUCCUUCCUUACAUGGCAGAAGGGGCAAUGGAGCUCUCUGGGGUCCCUUUAUAAGGGCCCUAA
rnacentral:lncRNA from 1 species